rnacentral:rRNA from 1 species
CUACGGGAGGCUGCAGUGAGGAAUCUUCCACAAUGGACGAAAGUCUGAUGGAGCGACACCGCGUGAAGGAUGAAGGUCUAACGAUUGUAAACUUCUUUUCUGAGGGAGCAUAAUGAGAGUACCUCAGGAAUAAGGGACGGCUAAUUACGUGCCAGCAGCCGCGGUAAUACGUAAGUCCCAAGCGUUACCCGGAAUUAUUGGGUGUAAAGGGUCCGUAGGUGGGUCUAUAAGUCAGGUAUGAAAGACCGGAGCUCAACUCCGUGUUUGUGCUUGAAACUGUAGACCUAGAAUCAGGGAGAGGUUAGCGGAAUUCUUAGUGUAGGGGUGCAAUCCGUAGAUACUAAGAAGAACACCAAAAGCGAAGGCAGCUAACUGGAACUCGAUUGACACUGAGGGACGAAAGCGUGGGGAGCGAAGAGGAUUAGAUACCCCUGUAGUC